UAGUCCACGCCGUAAACGAUGAUCACUAGCUGUUGGCGAUACACAGUCAGCGGCUGAGCGAAAGUGUUAAGUGAUCCACCUGGGGAGUACGAUCGCAAGGUUGAAACUCAAAGGAAUUGACGGGGGCCCGCACAAGCGGAGGAGCAUGUGGUUUAAUUCGAUGAUACGCGAGGAACCUUACCUGGGCUUAAAUGUAUAGUGCAUUACUGUGAAAGCGGUAUUUCCUACGGGACUCUAUACAAGGUGCUGCAUGGUUGUCGUCAGCUCGUGCCGUGAGGUGUCGGGUUAAGUCCCAUAACGAGCGCAACCCCUAUCCUUAGUUGCCAUCAGGUUAAGCUGGGGACUCUAAGGAAACUGCCUGUGCAAACAGAGAGGAAGGUGGGGGAUGACGUCAAAUCAGCACGGGCCCUUAUGUCCAGGGGCCACACACGUGCUACAAUGGCCGGAACAGAGGGCAGCUACACAGCAAUGUGAUGCAAAUCU
rnacentral:rRNA from 1 species